NNNNNNNNNNNNNNNNNNNNNNNNNAAUGUACUUGCUUUGCCAAAAAGCCAGAAGUGGCAAGAGAUGCUUAACUUCUCUGAGCAAAUAAACUGGAAGGAUUCUUGGAAGAUGACGAAACGUCAGCGUAGAGAAGAAAGAGCCUUGAGGAACCGGAGAAGUCCACCUUCACAAUUCUCACAAACUCUCACCGAAUGGGCCGAUUCUUGGAAGUUCACCAACUUAACACUCAACCAAGACGGCGGUUUAUGGCAGCAGGGUUGGUCUGCCAAUUCUCAACCCAGGCCUAUUAGAAGAGUGCGAGAAAAUGAAGAUAUCCCGCAUAAUGGACCAGCAGGGGUUCGUGCAUGGGCCGAGUCCUGGAGGUCAACGAGACGUCAGCAUCUUCUGGAAAGACAAGCGACAAGUGCAUCUACCCAGCCGGUAUGUCAACAUACAUAUGCACGAUCCGUAGCGGACUGGGAACAGUCGUGGAAGUCAUCAACUCAUCUGCGUCAUCAUGAUAGACCCUCCAUGACGGCAUGGACUGAUUCUUGGAGGCUCUCCAGCUUGGAGGAUCUCCAACGUGAGCAUGCAUGGUUUGAGAAAUCAAUGGAAAUCAAAGGCAGAAAGGAACUUUGCAGAGCAUCGAAUGCAUUUAGCAGAUCAUUUGAUUCUCAGACAUUCAAAGAACGAUAUCCUGCGAAUGAGUGGAAUGACUCGUGGAGGGUUAAGAAGAGGUUUGAUGGUCCUGGACUUGCACAACUAAUGAAAAACGAAGUGCUAAAUUGGGAUAAUUCUUGGAUGUUGACCAGCACAGAGUUUUAUCAAAAACAAGGUGAAUGUUAUUUGAAUUCUCACCUGACGUCUGAUGUCAAGAGCCAUGCGAUUCUCAAAUCAAUGCAGAUCGAGAGCAGGUCAGAGUGGGGUCGAUCGUGGAAGAUGUCAAACCCACAACCACCAAAGAACAUCGCCUCGUGGGUUGAGGCAAAGCCAAGUUCAUUCAAUGCACAAGACCUAAUUCUUUGGUCCAAACACAA
rnacentral:lncRNA from 1 species